GUACGCAACCCCGUCCAUUCCCCUCCCCCGACCCCGAGCGGUCGAGCGCCGCCUCCGCCGGCUUCCGUCGUCGACCACCUCCUGGUGCUGCCGUCGUCAACCACCUCACCGUAGACCACGAAGUCGCAGUACUGGAGGGAAAGAGGAGAAGAGGAGGGAGCGCAGCGCGUGCAGCUGCCUGCCGUCGAGUUGAGGGUCGACCGCCGCCGUCUCCACCUGUCCGCCGUCGACCACCUCCUCGCCGGCUCGCUGCUGUCGAUAAGAGAUGACCACGAAGCUGGAGGAGGGGGAGGAUGUGACUGCACCUGCACGCCGUCUCCCCUGCACCUGUUCGAUCUCCUCUGUCCUCUCCUCUGCAUUAUCCCAUCUCUGACCGAGGUCAAUUUUCUGGUUGUCCUCAACAGAAGAACUGAAGUCAGCAAUAAAAACUCGAAGAUACUUGAACUCUGCCAGAAAAGUUGAAGAGCAUUCGACGGACCUUUUGAAGCUGCCCUGAAAUGGCCUCUUGGUCGUCUAUUACAGUGAUAAAAUUUUCCUCGGCAGACUUGUACAAGAUGAGAUCCAACAACAUAUCAUGUAUUUUGCAAGUUCUCACUGACCCAUCCA